rnacentral:snoRNA from 1 species
AUUCCAUGGUUUGGACACUUUCUUAUCUGCUCAUUAAAUCUAUUACAUGCCUCGUGGUAGCUUUCCCCUCCUUCUUCUUGAAAGGUUUGAAUCUCCAAUAUGAUUUU